AUGGAGGUUAGAGAAUAGGGAAAUAACAACCAUGACCCGAGUAAAUCUUCUUCUUCUCUUACCUCCAUCUCCGUUGUUCUCUCGCUUCAUCGGAUUAAGAGCACCACUUCGAGUCCAGUGAUGCCGAAGAUUCCAAGACGUAUCCCCAUCAGGCCGGUAACAUCCGUAAAGGUGGUCACAUCAUCAUCAAGGGUCGUCCCUGCAAGAAAGAGGCUCUUGAAAAGGAUUUUGAUGGAGCAUAGAAAGGAACUGGACGAGAAGAUGAAGUUAGCUUCAUCUAGUUUGAUAAAUUCCAUUUCUGUUGCAAGUGAUUUACUUAUUUAAUAUGUUGUUGUUGUCUUUGUAAAAUAUUUUACUACUAAUGAUAAUUGUUUUAUCUUUGUAAAUUUUGUUUUGAUC